rfam:Cricetulus griseus cell line CHO-K1, whole genome shotgun sequence.
GGUUCCAUAGUGUAGCAGUUAUCACAUCUGCUUUAUGCUCAGAAGGUUCUGGGUUCGAGCCUCAGUGGAACCA